GAGCACUCUAGGCGAACUGCCGUUGACAAAACGGAGGAAGGUGGGGAUGACGUCAAAUCAUCAUGCCCCUUAUGUUCUGGGCUACACACGUGCUACAAUGGCCGGUACAGACGGACGCAAAGCCGCGAGGUGGAGCAAAUCCUAAAAAGCCGGUCUCAGUUCGGAUUGCAGGCUGCAAUUCGCCUGCAUGAAGUCGGAAUCGCUAGUAAUCGCAGGUCAGCAUACUGCGGUGAAUACGUUCCCGGGCCUU
rnacentral:rRNA from 1 species